rnacentral:rRNA from 1 species
AUACGGAGGGUGCAAGCGUUACUCGGAAUCACUGGGCGUAAAGCGCGCGCAGGCGGCUAUUUAAGUUGGAUGUGAAAGCCUACGGCUCAACCGUAGAACUGCAUCCAAAACUAUUUAGCUAGAGUGUGGGAGAGGAAGAUGGAAUUAGUUGUGUAGGGGUAAAAUCCGUAGAGAUAACUAGGAAUACCAAAAGCGAAGGCAAUCUUCUGGAACACUACUGACGCUGAGGCGCGAAAGCGUGGGGUGCAAACGGGAUUAGAAACCCUAGUAGUCC